rnacentral:rRNA from 1 species
UGGGGAAUAUUGCACAAUGGGCGCAAGCCUGAUGCAGCCAUGCCGCGUGUGUGAAGAAGGCCUUCGGGUUGUAAAGCACUUUCAGCGAGGAGGAAGGUGGUGAACUUAAUACGUUCAUCAAUUGACGUUACUCGCAGAAGAAGCACCGGCUAACUCCGUGCCAGCAGCCGCGGUAAUACGGAGGGUGCAAGCGUUAAUCGGAAUUACUGGGCGUAAAGCGCACGCAAGGCGGUUUGUUAAGUCGAUGUGAAAUCCCCGGGGCUCAACCUGGGAACUGCAUUUGAAACUGGCAAGCUAGAGUCUCGUAGAGGGGGGUAGAAUUCCAGGUGUAGCGGUGAAAUGCGUAGAGAUCUGGAGGAAUACCGGUGGCGAAGGCGGCCCCCUGGANGAAGACUGACGCUCAGGUG